GACGAACGCUGGCGGCGUGCUUAACACAUGCAAGUCGAGCGGUAAGGCCCUUUCGGGGGUACACGAGCGGCGAACGGGUGAGUAACACGUGGGUGACCUGCCCUCAGCUCUGGGAUAAGCCCGGGAAACGUGGGUCUAAUACCGGAUAUGACUCCAUGACGCAUGUUGUGGGGUGGAAAGCCUUGUGCGGCUGAGGAUGGGCCCGCGGCCUAUCAGCUUGUUGGUGGGGUGAUGGCCUACCAAGGCGACGACGGGUAGCCGGCCUGAGAGGGCGACCGGCCACACUAGGACUGAGACGCGGCCCAGACUCCUACGGGAGGCAGCAGGUGGGGAAUCUUGCGCAAUGGGCGAAAGCCUGACGCAGCGACGCCGCGUGAGGGAUGAC
rnacentral:rRNA from 1 species